rnacentral:rRNA from 1 species
UUCGUCACACUAUCAUUAACUGAAUCCAUAGGUUAAUGAGGCGAACCGGGGGAACUGAAACAUCUAAGUACCCCGAGGAAAAGAAAUCAACCGAGAUUCCCCCAGUAGCGGCGAGCGAACGGGGAGCAGCCCAGAGCCUGAAUCAGUGUGUGUGUUAGUGGAAGCGUCUGGAAAGGCGUGCGAUACAGGGUGACAGCCCCGUACACAAAAAUGCACAUAUUGUGAGCUCGAUGAGUAGGGCGGGACACGUGGUAUCCUGUCUGAAUAUGGGGGGACCAUCCUCCAAGGCUAAAUACUCCUGACUGACCGAUAGUGAACCAGUACCGUGAGGGAAAGGCGAAAAGAACCCCGGCGAGGGGAGUGAAAAAGAACCUGAAACCGUGUACGUACAAGCAGUGGGAGCACGCUUAGGCGUGUGACUGCGUACCUUUUGUAUAAUGGGUCAGCGACUUAUAUUCUGUAGCAAGGUUAACCGAAUAGGGGAGCCGAAGGGAAACCGAGUCUUAACUGGGCGUUAAGUUGCAGGGUAUAGACCCGAAACCCGGUGAUCUAGCCAUGGGCAGGUUGAAGGUUGGGUAACACUAACUGGAGGACCGAACCGACUAAUGUUGAAAAAUUAGCGGAUGACUUGUGGCUGGGGGUGAAAGGCCAAUCAAACCGGGAGAUAGCUGGUUCUCCCCGAAAGCUAUUUAGGUAGCGCCUCGUGAAUUCAUCUCCGGGGGUAGAGCACUGUUUCGGCAAGGGGGUCAUCCCGACUUACCAACCCGAUGCAAACUGCGAAUACCGGAGAAUGUUAUCACGGGAGACACACGGCGGGUGCUAACGUCCGUCGUGAAGAGGGAAACAACCCAGACCGCCAGCUAAGGUCCCAAAGUCAUGGUUAAGUGGGAAACGAUGUGGGAAGGCCCAGACAGCCAGGAUGUUGGCUUAGAAGCAGCCAUCAUUUAAAGAAAGCGUAAUAGCUCACUGGUCGAGUCGGCCUGCGCGGAAGAUGUAACGGGGCUAAACCAUGCACCGAAGCUGCGGCAGCGACACUAUGUGUUGUUGGGUAGGGGAGCGUUCUGUAAGCCUGCGAAGGUGUGCUGUGAGGCAUGCUGGAGGUAUCAGAAGUGCGAAUGCUGACAUAAGUAACGAUAAAGCGGGUGAAAAGCCCGCUCGCCGGAAGACCAAGGGUUCCUGUCCAACGUUAAUCGGGGCAGGGUGAGUCGACCCCUAAGGCGAGGCCGAAAGGCGUAGUCGAUGGGAAACAGGUUAAUAUUCCUGUACUUGGUGUUACUGCGAAGGGGGGACGGAGAAGGCUAUGUUGGCCGGGCGACGGUUGUCCCGGUUUAAGCGUGUAGGCUGGUUUUCCAGGCAAAUCCGGAAAAUCAAGGCUGAGGCGUGAUGACGAGGCACUACGGUGCUGAAGCAACAAAUGCCCUGCUUCCAGGAAAAGCCUCUAAGCAUCAGGUAACAUCAAAUCGUACCCCAAACCGACACAGGUGGUCAGGUAGAGAAUACCAAGGCGCUUGAGAGAACUCGGGUGAAGGAACUAGGCAAAAUGGUGCCGUAACUUCGGGAGAAGG